rnacentral:rRNA from 1 species
GACGAGGGGUCCUAGCGUUGUUCGGAAUCACUGGGCGUAAAGGGUGUGUAGGUGGCCUUGUAAGUCAGGUGUGAAAGCCCAUGGCUCAACCAUGGAACUGCAUCUGAUACUGCAAGGCUUGAAUAUUGGAGAGGAUGGUAGAAUUCCUGGUGUAGUGGUGAAAUACGUAGAUAUCAGGAGGAACACCGGUGGCGAAGGCGACCAUCUGGCCAAAUAUUGACACUGAGACACGAAAGCGUGGGGAUCAAACAGG